UCCUGCGCUGGAGCGGGGUGCUGGAGGCCAGACUCACCUUCAGAUGGAUGAGGAAGGACCGCUCCUGCUGGAGGGGGCCCAGCAGCGUCUGCUCCACGCUGACCAGCUCCGAGGACUUGGAUGGGAAAACGUGCGGCUUGGUGCAGAUGCAUCCGUCCGCAGGGAUACCCCGCCCCCACCUGCUUUGAAGGAUGCCUGUCAGUGACCAUUCGUGCCCUGGGUACUGAGGGUGGCAGACCCUGGAAAUCCAGUCUCGUGCAGCAAACCCUUCCACUAUCAAGUGGCUGACGGCAAUGACCACUUCUGGUCGUGAAACUAAGAUAUUUUAAGCUCCAGAGCUUCUGUAGCCCUUCUGUGAGUCUGAGGGUCAAGAGGGCCAACAGUGAAGAGAGAAAAGGAAGAGAUUUAUAGUGAGAAGCCAAUGGUCUUACAACACCAUCCAAGACCUAUGUUUAGCAGCACAAGAAGAUAGCCCCACCUCUGAGCUUUUCAGUUACACACGCCACCAAAAACUCUUUUUGCUUGAGCCACUUUGGGUUGAGUGUAUGGCUUCUUGCAACAGAAAGCUACAACUAAAACAAACUGCUUGACCUACUGAGUGCAGAAAUGUUGUUAAUGGAGUGAUCUGUGACCUAGUGCCUCUCGGGCAAAACAGCCCUAAAAGGUCCCUCUGGCCAUUUCCAGCAACACUUCUGCAAUUCACCUAAACUUUCACCUAAAGUUUAGGUGAAUUGCAGAAUUCAACAAUUGUGGAAAAACCUCUCUAAGCAACUCUGGUCUUUCCUGACAAUUGAUGGGAGCAUUAUUAAGUGGACAACAGAAGUACUCAUGACCUUGGGUAAUGUGGGAUAAAAACUCCAGAAAGUGAGAAGCAGUGUUAGUAAACUGAUAGAGUGUGAUUAGAGAAACCAGUAUUCUGGCCCUUCUGUGAAUCUAGAGGUUCUUUUCCUCUGGAUUCUUUCCUUUUUCCUCCUUUUAUUAUCUCUUUUGUUUGAGUGUAGUUGAUGCACAUUACAUUAGUUUCAAGUGUACAAUGUAGCGAUUCAGCAUCUCUUCACUUUUGUGCUGCGCUCACCCCAAGUGUAGCAAGAUACGAACUUGUGCUGGAAUCCUGAGGAAGCCUGGCCCAGCGGGAACAGAAGGGGGAAAUGAGAGAGGGUGCCGCCCUGUGAAGCCUUCCUCAAAGGACUCGGCAGAGCCUAGAUACAUUUGAGCCCUCCUUAUAUACUUUGGCGCUUUUCUCCAAAAGGGAUCCAAGAGAAUUCCAGCAAUGGAGCUGUUAACCUUCAGCACACCCUGGCAAAGUUCAUAGGCGGGAGCAAAACAAAACAUGUCCAAAGAGACCAGAGAGUUAUUAUUUUUGAAUGAAAAUUAUGGUUGAGGAGAAACAGAUGCUGAAGAGAUAGACCAAGAUCUGAAAAUGUUCU